AAUUCUCAACCUACAAAGCUUUUGUUGGUUCUGUAGUGUUGGACUAUGGAGGCCUUUGCCGGCUGCUUGCAGUGGGCUCCUCUCAAAUGCAUUAGCUUGAUUCCUUGCGGAUCGGCUCUCGGUGUGAUAAUGUCUACGCCGCGACCGUGAAGCGUUUGGCGAGCUUACAGUCGUCUCGUUGGAGACAGCUUCAUUGAC
rnacentral:misc_RNA from 1 species